rfam:Triticum aestivum genome assembly, contig: Triticum_aestivum_CS42_TGACv1_scaffold_019019_1AS
GAUCUACUCCCUCCGUUCGGAAUUACUUGUCACAGAAAUGGAUGUAUCUAGAUGUAUUUUAGUUCUAGAUAUAUCCAUAUCCGAGACAAAUAAUUUUGAACGGAGGGAGUAGGUG